GUAGGGAGUGUAGCUAUGGCCGGCCUGCGGAACGAAAGUGAACAGGAGCCGCUCUUAGGCGACACACCUGGAAGCAGAGAAUGGGACAUUUUAGAGACUGAAGAGCAUUAUAAGAGCCGAUGGAGAUCUAUUAGGAUUUUAUAUCUUACUAUGUUUCUCAGCAGUGUAGGGUUUUCUAUAGUGAUGAUGUCCAUAUGGCCAUAUCUCCAAAAGAUUGAUCCGACAGCUGAUACAAGUUUUUUGGGCUGGGUUAUUGCUUCAUAUAGUCUUGGCCAAAUGGUAGCUUCACCUAUAUUUGGUUUAUGGUCUAAUUAUAGACCAAGAAAAGAGGCUCUUAUUGUCUCCAUCUUGAUUUCCGUGGCAGCCAACUGCCUCUAUGCAUAUCUCCACAUCCCAGCUUCCCAUAAUAAAUACUACAUGCUGGUUGCUCGUGGAUUGUUGGGAAUUGGAGCAGGAAAUGUAGCAGUUGUUAGAUCAUAUACUGCUGGUGCUACUUCCCUUCAGGAAAGAACAAGUUCCAUGGCAAACAUAAGCAUGUGUCAAGCAUUAGGUUUUAUUCUAGGUCCAGUUUUUCAGACUUGUUUUACAUUCCUUGGAGAAAAAGGUGUGACAUGGGAUGUGAUUAAACUGCAGAUAAACAUGUAUACAACACCAGUUUUACUUAGCGCCUUCCUGGGAAUUUUAAAUAUUAUUCUGAUCCUUGCCAUACUAAGGUAAUUAGAUAGAAAUGAUAAAACUAUUUUUGUAGAUUGUGAAAUUUAAUGAGCUUUGUAAUUGUUGGAAGAUA
rnacentral:sRNA from 1 species